rnacentral:rRNA from 1 species
UCAGUUGUGAAAGUUUGCGGCUCAACCGUAAAAUUGCAGUUGAUACUGGGUGUCUUGAGUACAGUAGAGGCAGGCGGAAUUCGUGGUGUAGCGGUGAAAUGCUUAGAUAUCACGAAGAACUCCGAUUGCGAAGGCAGCUUGCUGGACUGUAACUGACGCUGAUGCUCGAAAGUGUGGGUAUCAAACAGGAUUAGAUACCCUGGUAGUCCACACAGUAAACGAUGAAUACUCGCUGUUUGCGAUAUACAGUAAGCGGCCAAGCGAAAGCGUUAAGUAUUCCACCUGGGGAGUACGCCGGCAACGGUGAAACUCAAAGGAAUUGACGGGGGCCCGCACAGGCGGAGGAACAUGUGGUUUAAUUCGAUGAUACGCGAGGAACCUUACCCGGGCUUGAAUUGCAACUGAAUGAUGUGGAGACAUGUCAGCCGCAAGGCAGUUGUGAAGGUGCUGCAUGGUUGUCGUCAGCUCGUGCCGUGAGGUGUCGGCUUAAG